GGGGAAUUUUGGACAAUGGGCGCAAGCCUGAUCCAGCCAUGCCGCGUGCAGGAUGAAGGCCCUCGGGUUGUAAACUGCUUUUGUACGGAACGAAAAGCCUCUUUCUAAUAAAGAGGGGUGAUGACGGUACCGUAAGAAUAAGCACCGGCUAACUACGUGCCAGCAGCCGCGGUAAUACGUAGGGUGCGAGCGUUAAUCGGAAUUACUGGGCGUAAAGCGUGCGCAGGCGGUCUUGCAAGACAGUGGUGAAAUCCCCGGGCUCAACCUGGGAACUGCCAUUGUGACUGCAAGGCUGGAGUACGGCAGAGGGGGAUGGAAUUCCGCGUGUAGCAGUGAAAUGCGUAGAUAUGCGGAGGAACACCGAUGGCGAAGGCAAUCCCCUGGGCCUGCACUGACGCUCAUGCACGAAAGCGUGGGGAGCAAACA
rnacentral:rRNA from 1 species